rnacentral:lncRNA from 1 species
AUGUCUUUUUGCGAAGCAAAUUACUAUUGCCACGAUUAAUGUAUGAUACGAUCCGGCCAUCUCAGGAAGUUGUGAGUCAGGUAGCGCGGGAAUUGAACAUUCAAGAAGAAGAAGGGGAAUCGGAGGAAGGGAAAUCGAAAACCGGACGUCCGAUUAGAGUUUUGAGAGCUCCGUGCAAAUAUGAAGAUUUCGUCACCCAAUUUAGGGAUGACUGAAAUAUGAAAUAAAAUAAUGAAAUAAAAGUGGGCCGGACGGACCACUUUUAUUUAAUUCAAAAAGACUUGGUUUUAAAUGAUUAUUUUAUUCCCUUUUAAAAUAUUACCAAAAUCGUAAAUAUUGUAAUAGUGUUGCAGUUACCAACACUACAGACUAUUUAAGUAUUUGGGUGAAUGAAAAGAGACAUCGAUUUAUUUUGUAAAGAAAAACAGUUUCUUUAUUACACUCUACAACCACCGUUCAUCCGACAACAGACCGAGUACACUUCCGCCAGCCACGUUUUCUCGACCUCAACUCCGCCGUAUCAAGCAUCCGGUCAAACUGCUUAACAACAAUUUUCUGUUUCGGACUCAGCCUUCAUUUCAGAGGUUUAUCUUCGCCGUGUGCGUCUCUAGGUUUAUCGAUCCGUCGAUCAUCAGACCGGAGACUCUCUUCAUCUCAGGUGAAGUGAUUCUGAUUUCUUGUACAAUUCCUAAGAAUUGUAUCACUGGUGCUUUCAAUUUUCUCGAACUCGUUUAAUUGCAGAAAUUAAUGGCUUCUAAUAUGGAGUUAACUGCAAAUCCUGAUUUCAAAAGACUUCAAGCAUUACAAAUGGAGCAAACUAAAGAAAUGACUGAAUUUCGUAUCGUUAUGACAAAUACAAUACAACAGAUUUCAAAUCAAACAAUGAAUAUGGGAAAAGAAACAAAAAUUCCAGAACCACUAGAUGGGGAACAAAACAAGCAAAACAGAGAAUUUGGUGAUCAAAGCUGUCUAUCUUUAGUGGAUCUCGACAACCCCAUAUAUGCAGUUAGCAUACUGAAUGAUGACAAUUACAAUCCAGCAAAGAAUAUUAAAGUAAUCAUGCCAAGAUUUGAGGGCAAAGAUGUCGAAUAUUGACUAUUUCAAGUAAGAAGAUUUUUUUAUAUAUAAUAAGACUCCGGAAGAACAAAAAUUAUUAAUGGUUUCAUUCCAUAUGGACGGAAUAGCGAGAAAAUGGUUUUCUUGGAUGGAAAUUUUUUGUAAAAGAUGUAUGUAAAAAAUUCAACAGAGGUAAUUAUACUCUCCCCGGAGGCAAACUAAGCAAAUUAAUGCAAGUGGGCUCUGUGGCUGAAUAUCAAACAGAGUUUGAAGAAAGAUGCACAAGGUGUUUAGGCCUACCAGAUUACUUUAUACUGGAAAUGUUCAUUUCUGGCCUCAGAGAUGACAUUCAAAAAGAGGUGGUAAAAUUCAAGCCAAAUGAUAUACAAGAAGCAUUUGAUAUGGCAGCCUUAGUAGAAGGAAAGCAAGUGGGAAGUGGAUCAAGUUGGAUCCCCAAAAUAGCAAGAAGUACCUGGAAAUAUCAACAAAAGGAGCUGACAAAUCCAGCAACAACUGAAAAAAAUUCAAUAUGCAAAAGGGGGUCAAGAACAGCCCUAUACUAAACCAGUCUUUAAAAGACUAUCGCCUGAAGAAAGAAAAGAAAGAACGGUAAAAGGACUUUGUUUUAACUGUGAUGACAAGUUCAUACCAGGGCAUAGAUGCAAAGGUAAAAUGUUCAUGCUUUUUGCUGAUAAAUCAUAUUUGAUAGAAAUGGAAGAAUAAGAAGAGAUUGUGAAUGUGGAGGAACUUGAAGAAAUCCCCAUCAUAAGAAGCAAUGAAACUCCAACAGAUAUUAGCAUGCAUGCAUUUGAAGGGCAAAUGAAUCCAAGCACAAUCAGGUUGGAAGGGUUCGUAAAAAUGCAAUCAAUAAGUAUCUUAGUAGAUUCGGGUUCAACACAUAAUUUUAUGCAAUUAGCUGUAGCAUCUGCUUUAAAAUUAACUAUACAUGCUACUAGACCCUUUAAAAUGGCCACAAGAAGUGGAGAAAAUCUUAUUUAUGAUAAGGUGUGUAAAGAUGUAGAAAUAAAGAUACAAGGAGUGGUAGUAAAAAUGGAUGUAUUUCUCAUACCAAUGGCUGGAUCAAACUUGGUAAUUGGGAUACAAUGGCUGAAAAAGUUAAGAUAUAUUGUUUCAAAUUAUGAAAAAUUAACAAUGAAAUUCAAGUGGGUAGGAAAAGAUGUAACUUGGCAAGGAAUAUCUUGGAUCUCUAAGGAUCCAUUAACAGCGGGAGAACUGAAAAGUUUAUGUCAGAUAACAACAGAAGCUUAUUUAUGCUACUAUGAAACUUCUUCAAAUAUUGAAAGCAACGAGUCUCUAAACAAAGAAAAACCAGAAAUUCAUGAAGUAGUAAAAGAAUUUUCAGACAUAUUCUUUGAUCCUACAGGGUUGCCUCCAUAAAGAGAAAUAGACCACCUGAUACAUUUGGUACCAGUGGCUAAACCAGUAAAUGUGAGACCUUACAGGUACCCACAGUUUCAAAAAAAUGAAAUUGAGAAGCUAAUUUUAGAGAUGCUGGAUAAAGGCACCAUCAAACCAAGUAUAAGCCCAUAUUCUUCACCAGUACUUCUUAUAAAGAAAAAAGACGGGGGAUACAGAAUGUGUGUAGACUACAGAGCACUCAAUGCUCUAACUAUUAAAGAUAAAUUUCCAAUCCCAACUAUGGAUGAAUUGUUGGGAGAAUUAAAGGGAUCUAUAAUAUUUUCUAAGCUAGAUCUGAGAUCAGGUUUUCAUCAGAUCAGAGUUUGCCCAUCAGAUACUCACAAAACAACAUUCAGAACACAUGAAGGUCACUUUGAAUUCAUGGUCAUGCCAUUUGGGUUAACCAAUGCACCAGCCACUUUUCAGGCAGUUAUGAACUCGGUUUUUAAAAAAAUAUUGAGGAAAUUUGUAAUCAUAUUUUUUGAUGAUAUUCUAAUCUACAACCCUUCGCUAGAAGAACAUAUAUCUCAUUUGGGUAAGGUGUUUGAGAUACUCAGAAGCAAUCAAUUAUUGGCAAAGCUAUCUUAGUGUUCAUUUGGGAAAUCAUCCAUUGGGUUUUUAGGACACAUAAUUUCAGAAAAAGAGUCCACCCAGACCCAAGCAAAGUAAGUGCAAUGACAGAAUGGAAAGUGCCAAAGACCAUCAAACAACUCAGAGGCUUUUUGGGUCUAACUGGUUAUUAUAGAAGGUUUAUAAAAAAUUAUGCUCAGAUUGCUUCUCCAAUGACAAAUCUAUUAAAGAAGGACAGCUUUAAGUGGUCUGAAGAUAGUGAAGAAAGCUUUCAGACUUUGAAGGCAACUAUGAUAAAAGCUCCGAUUCUAGCAUUUCCUGAUUUUAAAAAAAUAUUUAUAGUUGAAACCGAUGCAUGCAAUAGUGGAGUGGGGGCAGUACUUAUACAGGAGGACCAUCCUAUUUCAUUUUAUAGUUGUAAAAUAUUUGGAAAAAUUGCAGGUGCCUCAAUCUACAUAAAAGAAAUGUUUGCUAUUACCCAAGCAGUCUAUAAAUGGAGACACUAUUUGCUAGGUGCUACUUUUACUAUAAGGACUGAUCAUAGGAGUCUAAAAAAUAUGUUAACACAAGUCAUAUAGACCCUAGAACAGCAGAUAUUCCUAUGUAACAUUGCUAGGAUUUGAUUUUCAGAUUGUUUACAAACCAGGAAAAUCAAAUGUGGUAGCUGAUGCACUUUCAAGGUCAUUUGAAGAGGAAGAAAUUAUCUAUUCUCACUCAUCCAAGGGAAAUCCAGGUUCAUUUUUAACUCUCUCAACCCCUAUAUACAAUCUGAUAAAUGAUAUCAAAAGGGAGAACAAGGAAAAUUCAGACUUGAAAGAAUUAAUGGAAGAAAUCAGCAAAAAACCAAACUCCCAAGUAGGAUUUACAGUGCAAGAAGGAAUUAUUAAAUUUAUGGACAAAAUAUACUUAGCAAAAAAUUCUGAAAUCAGAAAAGAAAUUAUGAAAGAAUACCACUCUGCAAUUACUGGAGGGCACUCUGGGAUCAAGGCAACUAUCAAAAGAAUAAACUUACAGUUCUGGUGGGAAGAUAUGUCUAAAGACAUUAAAGAAUUUGUGAUAAAUUGCAAAAUAUGUCAACAAAUGAAGCCUAUAAACCAGAAAAAGGCGGGAUUACUCAUGCCACUACCCAUACCUAAUAUGGUUUGGAAGGACAUAACAAUGGACUUCAUUACUGAGCUACCGCAAACACAAGGAAAAACAGUCAUCAUAUGGUAGUGGUGGAUAGAUUAUCAAAAUAUGCACACUUUGGAGCUUUACCCACAAAUUUUAAUGCAAGCAUGGUAUCUGAAUUAUUUACAUCAAUGGUCAUCAAAUUACAUGGAAUACCAAGUUCCAUUGUCUCGGAUAGGGACAAGAUAUUCACUUCUAAAUUUUGGAAGGAAUUGCAUAACAAGAGUGGGACCAAACUACAUUAUUCUACUGUCUAUCAUCCGGAAAGUGAUGGCCAAACAGAAGUGGUCAACAGAGGUUUGGAGAUGUAUCUAAGAUGUUUUUGUCUUGAUGAUCCAAAAAAAUGGCUGAGCUUACUACCAUGGGCUGAAUUAUGGUAUAACACCAAUUAUCAUUCAUCUAUCAAAACAACAUCUUUUAAUGUGUUAUAUGGGAGAGAUCCACCAGGAAUUGCACAAUACACUCCCGGGGACUCAAACAUUGAUGCAGUAGAUUCAACUAUGCAAAUAAGAGAAGAAGCUCUGGAACAUAUCAAAGCUAAUUUGAAAAGAUGUCAGGAGCUUAUGAAACUAAAAGCUGAUACAAAAAGAAAGGACAUCGAAUUCAAUAUGGGAGACUAUACAUGGAUUAAAUUAAAACCAUAUAAGCAAACUACUAUGGCAUUAAGAUUGAACAACAAGUUAAGCAAAAAAUAUUUCGGACCAUUCAAAAUUAUAAAGAAGGUCAGUAGAGCAGCGUAUACGGUAGAAUUACCUAAAGGAAGCAAAAUCCACAACACCUUUCACAUUUCCAAAUUGAAGCCAUACAAAGGGGAAACACCACCAUCUGAGGAAAAAAAUCCGAUUUUGUCUAUCAACAAUCAACUAGUUAUAUAUUCAUUAGCACUAAUCGAUUCAAAGAAAAUUUACCUGAACGGAAAAGUGACAGAGCAGGUCCUGGUUCACUGGAGUGACUCAGCACCAGAAGACGCAUCAUGGGAAAAUCUACAGCAGCUGGCGAUGAUAUUUCCGUCUAUCACCAAUGAGGACAUAGUGAUUUUCGAAGGGGGGAGAGAUGAUACGAUCCGGCCAUCUCAGGAAGUUGUGAGUCAGGUAGCGCGGGAAUUGAACAUUCAAGAGGAAGAAGGGGAAUCGGAGGAAGGGAAAUCGAAAACCGGUCGUCCGAUUAGAGCUUUGAGAGCUCCGCGCAAAUAUAAAGAUUUCGUCACCCAAUUUAGGGAUGACUGAAAUAUGAAAUAAAAUAAUGAAAUAAAAGUGGGCCGGACCGACCACUUUUAUUUAAUUCAAAAAGACUUGGUUUUAAAUGAUGAUUUUAUUCCCUGUUUUAAAAUAUUACCAAAAUCGUAAAUGUUGUAAUAGUGUUGCAGUUAACAUUACAGACUAUUUAAGUAUUUGGGUGAAUGAAAAGAGACAUCGAUUUAUUUUGUAAAGAAAAACAGUUUCCUUAUUACACUCUACAACCACCGUUCAUCCGGCAAUAGACCGGGUACACUUCCGCCAGCCACGUUUUCUCGACCUCAACUUCGCCGUAUCAAGCAUCCGGUCAGACUGUUUAACAACAAUUUUCUGUUUCGGACUCAGCCUUGAUUUCAGAGGUUUAUCUUCACCGUGCGCGUCUCAAGGUAUCUGGGAUCUGUCGAUCAAGGGACCGGAGACUCUCUUCAUCUCAGGUGAAGUGAUUCUGAUUUCUUGUACAAUUCCUAAGAAUUGUAUCAAUGUAGUAACAUUAGAUACUUGGUAUAGUAGAUUGGGGUAUGCUCCUAAAAAUAAGUUUUUAAAUAUUUUUAAAUAUUUUUAAAUAUUUAUAACUACAAAAUUAUUUCUAAUAUUUAUGAAUGUGC